rnacentral:SRP_RNA from 1 species
GCCAGAUGUGAUAGCAUGUGCCUGUAAUCCCAGCUAUUCGGGAGGCAGAGGCAGGAGGAUCUCUUGAGCCCUGGAGUUCUGGGCUGUAGUGCACUAUGUAGAUCGGGUGUCCACACUCAGUUUGGCAUCAAUAUGGUGACCUCCUAAGAGCAAGGGACCACCAUGUUACCUAAGGAUGGGUGAACUGGUCUGGGUCGAAAAUGGAGCAAGUCAAAACUUCUAUGCUGAUUAGUAAUAGGAUUGUGCCUUUUCAGGAAGGCUUAGCAGCAUCUUAUAAACUCUAUAGCCAAAAAAAAAAAAAAAGGAUUGUGCCUGUGAAUAGCCACUGCACUCAAACCUGGGCAACAUAGCGAGACCCUGUC